AAAACACUGGACCUUUGCCUAUUUUACUGGAAGUUUCUCUCUUAGAGUAUGAUGAAAAGAGGAUUGGUUGUAAGAGACCUGGCUGCAAGGCUCACCUCCACUAAGUAGCCAUAGACAUUUUGGCCACUAAUGUGCUGUGAGUCACCUUAUUCCUCUGGUCCACAGCUUCUUCAUCUGGGAAAGGAAGACAUUGGAUUGUAAAGAUCUUGAUCUGUUGC
rnacentral:lncRNA from 1 species